UACGGGGGGUGCGAGCGUUGUCCGGAAUCACUGGGCGUAAAGGGCGCGUAGGUGGUCUUAUAAGGGUGUGGUGAAAGCCCCGGGCUCAACCUGGGAAUUGCAUUCGAGACUGAAUAGCUAGGGUACGGUAGAGGGAAGUGGAAUUUCCGGUGUAGCGGUGAAAUGCGUAGAUAUCGGAAGGAACAUCAGUGGCGAAAGCGACUUCCUGGACCAGUACCGACGUUCAGGCACGAAAGCGUGGGGAGCAAACAGG
rnacentral:rRNA from 1 species